rnacentral:lncRNA from 1 species
CAGCUUAAUUUUCUUUUAAAUUUUAAUUGCAUAAGUAACAUAUAUCUUUUAAAAUAAAAACAACAGUUUUAAAAUAAUAGAACAGCAAUUAGAUGGACUCAGAUAUUUUCAUAUCUUAAAUGAUGGUAAAUGCUGGGUUAUGGAAAUUCAUAUUCAUCAUGGAUUUUGUAUCUUGGAAAUUGGUAUAUUUGUCUUUGUGUAUUAAAUAUAACACACUUUAGUGGGUAUAUAAAAUAAAUUGAUUUGGUAAAUUCUUAUCAAUGAAACAAUUUUCCAUAAUCAUUAAUUAUUAUGGUAAAAUGUUUUUUAUGAAUUUCUGGUUCACUAUUAUAAUUUUCUCAUGCCAUCAGCCACAUAUAUGCAAAUGUCCUUGGGAAUCUCUGUAGUUUUCUAUCAUAGAGGAUAGAUAGCUCAAACUUUUUACUUUAAUGUCAUAUUUACUUAAAAAUACUAAGAAAUAUAGUAAUUAUUAUUUCUAAGCAUGCCAAAAUAUACUAUUCCUCAAUUAUUAUUAACAUACUGGACCAUACCCAGAGAAGAUA